rnacentral:rRNA from 1 species
AUGAACGCUAGCUACAGGCUUAACACAUGCAAGUCGAGGGGCAGCAUUUCAGUUUGCUUGCAAACUGGAGAUGGCGACCGGCGCACGGGUGAGUAACACGUAUCCAACCUGCCGAUAACUCGGGGAUAGCCUUUCGAAAGAAAGAUUAAUACCCGAUGGUAUAAUCAGACCGCAUGGUCUUGUUAUUAAAGAAUUUCGGUUAUCGAUGGGGAUGCGUUCCAUUAGGCAGUUGGUGAGGUAACGGCUCACCAAACCUUCGAUGGAUAGGGGUUCUGAGAGGAAGGUCCCCCACAUUGGAACUGAGACACGGUCCAAACUCCUACGGGAGGCAGCAGUGAGGAAUAUUGGUCAAUGGGCGCAGGCCUGAACCAGCCAAGUAGCGUGAAGGAUGACUGCCCUAUGGGUUGUAAACUUCUUUUAUAUGGGAAUAAAGUUUUCCACGUGUGGAAUUUUGUAUGUACCAUAUGAAUAAGGAUCGGCUAACUCCGUGCCAGCAGCCGCGGUAAUACGGAGGAUCCGAGCGUUAUCCGGAUUUAUUGGGUUUAAAGGGAGCGUAGGUGGACAGUUAAGUCAGUUGUGAAAGUUUGCGGCUCAACCGUAAAAUUGCAGUUGAUACUGGCUGUCUUGAGUACAGUAGAGGUGGGCGGAAUUCGUGGUGUAGCGGUGAAAUGCUUAGAUAUCACGAAGAACUCCGAUUGCGAAGGCAGCUCACUGGACUGCAACUGACACUGAUGCUCGAAAGUGUGGGUAUCAAACAGGAUUAGAUACCCUGGUAGUCCACACAGUAAACGAUGAAUACUCGCUGUUUGCGAUAUACAGUAAGCGGCCAAGCGAAAGCAUUAAGUAUUCCACCUGGGGAGUACGCCGGCAACGGUGAAACUCAAAGGAAUUGACGGGGGCCCGCACAAGCGGAGGAACAUGUGGUUUAAUUCGAUGAUACGCGAGGAACCUUACCCGGGCUUAAAUUGCAUUUGAAUAUAUUGGAAACAGUAUAGCCGUAAGGCAAAUGUGAAGGUGCUGCAUGGUUGUCGUCAGCUCGUGCCGUGAGGUGUCGGCUUAAGUGCCAUAACGAGCGCAACCCUUAUCUUUAGUUACUAACAGGUCAUGCUGAGGACUCUAGAGAGACUGCCGUCGUAAGAUGUGAGGAAGGUGGGGAUGACGUCAAAUCAGCACGGCCCUUACGUCCGGGGCUACACACGUGUUACAAUGGGGGGUACAGAAGGCAGCUACCUGGUGACAGGAUGCUAAUCCCAAAAGCCUCUCUCAGUUCGGAUCGAAGUCUGCAACCCGACUUCGUGAAGCUGGAUUCGCUAGUAAUCGCGCAUCAGCCAUGGCGCGGUGAAUACGUUCCCGGGCCUUGUACACACCGCCCGUCAAGCCAUGAAAGCCGGGGGUACCUGAAGUACGUAACCGCAAGGAGCGUCCUAGGGUAAAACUGGUAAUUGGGGCU